rnacentral:rRNA from 1 species
UACGUAGGGGGCAAGCGUUGUCCGGAAUCAUUGGGCGUAAAGAGCGCGUAGGCGGCCCAGUAAGUCCGCUCUGAAAGUCAGGGGCUCAACCCCUGGAUGCGGGUGGAUACUGCUGGGCUAGAGUCCGGAAGAGGAGAGUGGAAUUCCUGGUGUAGCGGUGAAAUGCGCAGAUAUCAGGAAGAACACCAAUGGCGAAGGCAGCUCUCUGGGACGGUACUGACGCUGAGACGCGAAAGCGUGGGGAGCGAACAGG